rnacentral:rRNA from 1 species
UACGUAGGGGGCUAGCGUUGUCCGGAUUUAUUGGGCGUAAAGAGCGUGUAGGCGGCCAGGUAGGUCCGUUGUGAAAACUCGAGGCUCAACCUCGAGACGUCGGCGGAGACCCUCUGGCUAGAGUCCGGAAGAGGAGAGUGGAAUUCCUGGUGUAGCGGUGAAAUGCGCAGAUAUCAGGAAGAACACCCGUGGCGAAGGCGGCCCUCUGGGACGGUACUGACGCUGAGACGCGAAAGCGUGGGGAGCAAACAGG